ensembl:lncRNA
AUGCAGUUUGCCUGGACAGUCUCAGUUUAUGUCUAUUGUCUGGGAAUAAUUAUUAAUUUCCUUUUUACUCUCAGAAGUGUCCUGCUUUGGAUCAUGAUUUAUAUGGCCACUUCUGUAAGAAAAGGAACAGAUUUUCAAAUCCUGCUUCAUGUGGUGCCAGAAUCUCUGCUUUUUGCCUCUUUCUCAUCCUCUGUGAGUGCAAUUGUGGCUUUCCUUAUCAGAUGUUCGGCAGUAGCCCUGGGUGAGGUAGGAGGAUGUGGGUCCUGGACGACACAUGACUGCUCUCCAGAACCUAGAGCACUUCUCCAGGGAGAGAAUUUCACAGCUCAUUGACUGCUCUGACUCCUAAUCUACACGGAGGAAACAAUGUUGCAGCUCAUCAAAUGCAAUCAGCUGCUAAUUGAAAGGAAAUGGAAUUUUACAAUUACAGGCCACCUUUCAGUGCUCAGGAUUUCUAAGCACUUCUCCCCACCCUCCUUUGCCAGCUCAGCACUGGCAGGAGCACUUGACAACCUGCUAGAGACUUCCCUAAAAGCUGCAUUUAGGACCUGGCCCAUUUCUCCCCAGCUCCAGAGCAGCAGCAAAGGGAAGCAGCGUCCUCGCCAAUUCCUGGGCUGUCCUUCAAGGCUCAGUGCAAGGAAAAACACCCGGGUUGGACACCAGGCGAGCUGAGUGCUGGUCCUUGUUCACCUUCCCCCACGCCUUGUGGCAGUGUGACCUUGGCAUGCCCCCCUUUCCCUCUGUGCCCCACUCCCCUUCUCGCUAAAAUCAAGAAGCUGAAUUUGAUGACCUCUUGGUUCUUAUCAGCUCUGAUGAUUCUGUUUGUCCUGUUCUUGCCACUAUCCUCAUCCAAUGGAAGACAUCUAAAUUGACACCCUCUUUCUUGCCCAGUUAUCUGCUGUUCCAAAUGCUUCCAGGGUGACUGUCUUAGGUCUCCCAAAAGAUGUAUCCUGAUGAGAUUUUAAUGGGCCAGAAAGCAAAUUUGGGAAACAUCCUACUCAAUCUUCUGAUCAGACAUCUCUCUCCCCGUCCUGGAUCCAUUCACUUCCUUGGACAAAUAUCAAUCAUGAUUAAAUCUAAAGACAGUCACAUAGAUGUUUCUGGGUUCUGUCUUUUUCCCAAUGAGAUCCUGUGGAGACAAGGCUGGGAUGAGGGCUGCCAGCCAGAAAGAGCAUUGCUGCUUUUGACCCUGUCUCAAAGCUCCAUUUCCAGCCAGCUUUUCCUCUGAGAACAGGACUAACUAGCAUCUGCUUUGAGGUCUGGUCUGUGUCAUCCCACAAUAACACUUGUUCUGUCCAGGAACACAUCCGAGGCUCAUGUAACCCUGCAGUGCCAUUUUCUCUUGGUUCCCAUGAUCUGUGGGCUGGUCUAAUGUGCUUAUCGGAUACUGGAAUAUCACCACUUUCCUUUAGGCUGAUGAGUUAUGGCGUAUAUAAAAAAAAAAAAAAUUAAGCACAGUCAAAAAUAUUUUUUGUUUGGCCAAGGUUCAGUCUCAGUCCCAUUUCCCUCGAUCAGAGGAACACUCCAUCAGGGUCUUAGUCUGACCUGUUGCCUAGAGAAAUAGGCUACAAAUGAGUAAAAGAAAAGCAGUGAUGGGCUGGCUGGAUCUCCCCUCUAACAACACUGCAAUGAGCAUGCUGGGUCCAGGAAGCUCCUGAUGCUUUUCUGGAACUCUAUCUUUAGGGAAGGCUGGGGAGAGAGAGGACAAAGGUGGGGUCUCCAUCAGGAUGGGAGGGGAGGAGAGUGUGAAGGAAGCUCUGGAGCUGUGGGUUUGCACUGUAAUGUAAAUAGGACAGGAGCUGGAAGUGGGUGCAGGUUGGAGGCAGGAAGAGGACCACUUGGGCAGAUCCCACCUAUAGGUCUAUUGGCCAAAGGGUCAGGGUUCAGACAGCCAGUGUGAAGGGAAGAGUGAUUACCAAAGGUAAGAGUGAUGGCCUAAAAAGGGAGGUUAAGAGCCUGAGAGAUGUCAGAGGGGAGUAAAAAGCUGCUGUGUUCGAAGGGCCAGGCGACAUGGCCUCAUGUUGAUACCGGUCACUGGUCAAAGCCCUGCCCAUCCUGGAAGAAAAGUGCUGGUUGUUAUGAGAGCUGGGAUUGGUCUGUCCACUCUAGGUAGAGUGGACACCAGCAGAAAUUCCACUGGUGGGCAAAAUGUGGCAUCCAGAAAGUAUGAAAAUAGGCACUCUAUGGUAUUUCAGAGAUGUAGUUGGCACUUGAGGUCCUAACCCAGACCCUAGAAUGUUCUGAUGUGUAAAUGGAACAUGAUGAAGGAGAUUC